GACGAACGCUGGCGGCGUGCCUAAUACAUGCAAGUUGAGCGCUGAAGGUUGGUACUUGUACCAACUGGAUGAGCAGCGAACGGGUGAGUAACGCGUGGGGAAACUGCCUUUGAGCGGGGGACAACAUUUGGAAACGAAUGCUAAUACCGCAUAAAAACUUUAAACACAAGUUUUAAGUUUGAAAGAUGCAAUUGCAUCACUCAAAGAUGAUCCCGCGUUGUAUUAGCUAGUUGGUGAGGUAAAGGCUCACCAAUGCGAUGAUACAUAGCCGACCUGAGAGGGGGAUCGGCCACAUUGGGACUGAGACACGGACCAAACUCCUACGGGAGGCAUCAGUAGGGAAUCUUCGGCAAUGGACGAAAGUCUGACCGAGCAACGCCGCGUGAGUGAAGAAGGUUUUCGGAUCGUAAAACUCUGUUGGUAGAGAAGAACGUUGGUGAGAGUGGAAAGCUCAUCAAGUGACGGUAACUACCCAGAAAGGGACGGCUAACUACGUGCCAGCCGCCGCUGUAA
rnacentral:rRNA from 1 species